UUGGGAAUCUUGCACAAUGGGGGAAACCCUGAUGCAGCGACGCCGCGUGGAGGAUGACGGGUCUAGGCCUGUAAACUCCUUUUUUCAGGAAAGACUUAGGACGGUACCUGAAGAAUAAGCACCGGCUAACUACGUGCCAGCAGCCGCGGUGAGACGUAGGGUGCAAGCGUUGUCCGGAUUUACUGGGCGUAAAGAGCGCGUAGGCGGUCUGUUAAGUGUAGAGUGAAAGCUCCGGGCUCAACCCGGAAAUUGCUCUGCAUACUGGCAGACUUGAGGGAUGCAGAGGUUUGUGGAAUUCCUGGUGUAACGGUGAAAUGUGUUGAUAUCAGGAGGAACACCCAUGGCGAAGGCAGCAAACUGGGCAUCAUCUGACGCUGAGGCGCGAAAGCGUGGGUAGCAAACAG
rnacentral:rRNA from 1 species